AAUCUAGGAGGCAGGUGCUCACUUGUCCUCCUCCAUGUUUGGAAAAUACAGGGAGGAGGCCAUAGUGGCAACUGUCACCAUGAUU
ensembl:miRNA